rnacentral:tRNA from 1 species
GUGGGUAUAGCUCAGUGGUAGUAUGCUUGCUUAGCGUCCACAAGACCCUAGGUUCAAGCCCUAGCGUGCACA